GGUUCCCUCUCUGUACCUUCUCUAGCUCACUGCGCGGUUGGAGGUGCAACCUACAUAUAAUAAUUACAGGGCUGACAGCACCCAGUGUAAUACGUGGUUUUUUCUCAGGGCUGGCGCUAUGAGUAGGUAGUGUAAUCAAGACAAAGAUAUAAUAGUUGUUGAGUUCUUCUGAUGUACCAAGCACUGUGCUAAAUACUUUAUAUACAUUAAUUAUCUCAUUUAAUCCUCAGAACAGCUCUAGCAAGCAAAUAAUGCUAUAAUGCCCAUGGUGGGGAUGAUGAAUCAGAAGCAGAGAGAGCUCCAGCAGUAUUACUGUGACUUCAGGGGAUGGAGAAAACUUCUUCGCUCCCCAUAACACUUCUGGGUAGCUCCUAACUGACUUCCCGUUAUUAAUAACCAUUGGUUUUAUCAAAAUGCAAAUCUCCCUGGAAGAGUUUCACAGGUCAACACCUCUGGUUACUAUCCAGACACGGAAGUGGAAAUCACGCUGGAGACGGAUGCAGGGGAUUAGGCCUAGUGUGGCCUGACCUCGAGACAUAUUCUGGUGACCCAGCCCUGGAAGAUACAGGCUCUUUGGUGGGGCUAAUCGUGGAC